CCUACGGGUGGCAGCAGUGGGGCAUAUUGCACAAUGGGGGAAACCCUGAUGCAGCGACGCCGCGUGAGCGAUGAAGUAUUUCGGUAUGUAAAGCUCUAUCAGCAGGGAAGAAAAUGACGGUACCUGACUAAGAAGCCCCUGCUAACUAAGUGCCAGCAGCCGCGGUAAUACGUCGGGGGAACACGUUAUCCCGAUUUACUGGGUGUAAAGGGAGCGUAGACGGCAAUGCAAGCCAGAGGUGAAAGCCCGGGGCUCAACCCCGGGACUGCAUUUGGAACUGUGUAGCUGGAGUGUCGGAGAGGCAGGCGGAAUUCCUAGUGUAGCGGUGAAAUGCGUAGAUAGUAGGAGGAACACCAGUGGCGAAGGCGGCCUGCUGGACGAUGACUGACGUUGAGGCUCGAAAGCGUGGGGAGCAAACAGGAUUAGAUACCCGGGUAGUC
rnacentral:rRNA from 1 species